rnacentral:rRNA from 1 species
GGUGAGUAAUGCCUAGGAAUCUGCCUGGUAGUGGGGGACAACGUUUCGAAAGGAACGCUAAUACCGCAUACGUCCUACGGGAGAAAGCAGGGGACCUUCGGGCCUUGCGCUAUCAGAUGAGCCUAGGUCGGAUUAGCUAGUUGGUGAGGUAAUGGCUCACCAAGGCGACGAUCCGUAACUGGUAUGAGAGGAUGAUCAGUCACACUGGAACUGAGACACGGUCCAG